GGAUUAGAUACCCGGGUAGUCCACGCUGUAAACGAUGUCGACUUGGAGGUUGUGCCCUUGAGGUGUGGCUUCCGGAGCUAACGCGUUAAGUCGACCGCCUGGGGAGUACGGCCGCAAGGUUAAAACUCAAAUGAAUUGACGGGGGCCCGCACAAGCGGUGGAGCAUGUGGUUUAAUUCGAUGCAACGCGAAGAACCUUACCUGGCCUUGACAUCCACGGAAGAAUUCAGAGAUGGAUUUGUGCCUUCGGGAACCGUGAGACAGGUGCUGCAUGGCUGUCGUCAGCUCGUGUUGUGAAAUGUUGGGUUAAGUCCCGCAACGAGCGCAACCCUUAUCCUUUGUUGCCAGCGAUUCGGUCGGGAACUCAAAGG
rnacentral:rRNA from 1 species